rnacentral:rRNA from 1 species
ACAAAAACAUGCCUUUUGAUUAUAAUAAGAGGUCCAGCCUGCCCAGUGAUAAAUUUAACGGCCGCGGUACCCUAACCGUGCAAAGGUAGCAUAAUCACUUGUUCUUUAAAUAAGGACUUGUAUCAACGGCAUCACGAGGGUUCUACUGUCUCCUCUCUCUAAUCGGUGAAACUGAUCUCCCUAUGAAAAAGUGGGGAUAAACUUAUAAGACGAGAAGACCCCAUGGAGCUUUAAAACCUAUAGCAACCUAGCAAACACUUCCAUUUAGCUAUAAAACUAUGCUCAAGGACUUUAGGUUGGGAGGACCACGGAGCACAAAAUAACCUCCGCAAUGAAAAGAAUAAAAUCUUUACCAAAGAGCCACAACUCCAAGAAUUAGAAAACUAACGUACAAUGACCCGAUAUCGAUCAAUGAACUAAGUUACCCUGGGGAUAACAGCGCAAUCCAUUCUGAGAGUUCAUAUCGACGAACGGGCUUACGACCUCGAUGUUGGAUCAGGGUAUCCUGGUGGUGCAGCCGCUACCGAAGGUUCGUUUGUUCAACGAUUAAACCUAGUGAUUGG